CCCUCCUUCUGCGUCCAGUGACAAAAGCCUUUGAGUGAGAGGAGGGUGUCUGUACCUGAAGUCAGUUUUAGCAAGUUUGGGUCCUGGCUUCACUCACUGGGAGACCUUGGCCACUUCAGCAUUCUGCUCUCAGAGCUGUAUUUUCCUUAUGUCACCAAUAUGACACCCCCACAUUGGGGAUUCAUGAAGGCAAGACUCUUAGCAAAGUCGCCUCCAUACCCUCAGGAUUAGUGUGACACUGUUGGUUGGUCUCACAGCUAUAAAAAGGUAUUGAUUGAUCUGAGUGCAGGUGGAGGGACCAGAAUCAGGAUGAGCUGCCCCAAACUGGGAAUUUAAGAUAUCUGUGACAUCUACACAAAUUUACUCAGGAAACAGAUUGGCAGCAAACUCAAUGACAAUGAUUUAAAAUAUGGACCCCACUCUCCCACAUCUCUUCACCCACCCAACACAGCUCAAUCUUCAGAAAAGCAAUCUGCACAAUAAUUGAUGCUGUGGACUGGAACUCUUUAAGAGGUGAGCAAAGGCUACCAUGUUGCAUCCCUUGGAAGCUCACAAAUGUGCCAUGGAGGAAUGAAAAGCGGGAAUAAAAGAAACAAUUUCAUCUGACUCAUGCAUUUCUGACCUCUCUUUAAAUAAUUUUUGAAAACUAAAAUUAUUAAUGGUCAAAAAAGAUCACUAUUUCUCUUCAUUUUUUAAAAAUAAA